CUUGUUAGUUAUAUGGCCUUGGACAGAGCACCUCCCUCCCCACAGUGCUUCAGCGUCUUUCUCUGCAAAACAGGUUCACUGAAUAAGAAUAUUUACCUAGUGCUCACAGGCCUCCCUCCAGCACAGCCCUGCAAGCUCUUAAAAAGCUCUGACAUAUCUCGACCAUGAGACCACGGCUGGCCCUUAGCAGGAAGGGGCUGAUGUUGACGUUCCCAGCCCAGCAGGCCGGACCUGGCGGGCAGGUGGCCCACCGAACACAUGAACGAUUGCUUCUCUGGACAGGGCCACGUUUUCACAGGACAGGCUUGAGUUUGAGCUGAAACAGCUGAGAGAGAGACUUCUCAAGAAAUGGAUGGGUGGUGAGUUUGCAGCAGGGUAUCUUAAACAUCUGUGGGCAUAUAGAGAGAGCCUUCCAG
rnacentral:lncRNA from 1 species